UUUACAUGGAUAGAAUAAAAGACC
rnacentral:piRNA from 1 species